rnacentral:rRNA from 1 species
AGAGUUUGAUCCUGGCUCAGAUUGAACGCUGGCGGCAGGCCUAACACAUGCAAGUCGAACGGUAGCACAGAGAGCUUGCUCUCGGGUGACGAGUGGCGGACGGGUGAGUAAUGUCUGGGAAACUGCCUGAUGGAGGGGGAUAACUACUGGAAACGGUAGCUAAUACCGCAUAACGUCGCAAGACCAAAGAGGGGGACCUUCGGGCCUCUUGCCAUCAGAUGUGCCCAGAUGGGAUUAGCUAGUAGGUGGGGUAAUGGCUCACCUAGGCGACGAUCCCUAGCUGGUCUGAGAGGAUGACCAGCCACACUGGAACUGAGACACGGUCCAGACUCCUACGGGAGGCAGCAGUGGGGAAUAUUGCACAAUGGGCGCAAGCCUGAUGCAGCCAUGCCGCGUGUAUGAAGAAGGCCUUCGGGUUGUAAAGUACUUUCAGCGGGGAGGAAGGUGUUGUGGCUAAUAACCGCAGCAAUUGACGUUACCCGCAGAAGAAGCACCGGCUAACUCCGUGCCAGCAGCCGCGGUAAUACGGAGGGUGCAAGCGUUAAUCGGAAUUACUGGGCGUAAAGCGCACGCAGGCGGUCUGUCAAGUCGGAUGUGAAAUCCCCGGGCUCAACCUGGGAACUGCAUUCGAAACUGGCAGGCUAGAGUCUUGUAGAGGGGGGUAGAAUUCCAGGUGUAGCGGUGAAAUGCGUAGAGAUCUGGAGGAAUACCGGUGGCGAAGGCGGCCCCCUGGACAAAGACUGACGCUCAGGUGCGAAAGCGUGGGGAGCAAACAGGAUUAGAUACCCUGGUAGUCCACGCCGUAAACGAUGUCGACUUGGAGGUUGUGCCCUUGAGGCGUGGCUUCCGGAGCUAACGCGUUAAGUCGACCGCCUGGGGAGUACGGCCGCAAGGUUAAAACUCAAAUGAAUUGACGGGGGCCCGCACAAGCGGUGGAGCAUGUGGUUUAAUUCGAUGCAACGCGAAGAACCUUACCUACUCUUGACAUCCAGAGAACUUAGCAGAGAUGCUUUGGUGCCUUCGGGAACUCUGAGACAGGUGCUGCAUGGCUGUCGUCAGCUCGUGUUGUGAAAUGUUGGGUUAAGUCCCGCAACGAGCGCAACCCUUAUCCUUUGUUGCCAGCGGUCCGGCCGGGAACUCAAAGGAGACUGCCAGUGAUAAACUGGAGGAAGGUGGGGAUGACGUCAAGUCAUCGUGGCCCUUACGAGUAGGGCUACACACGUGCUACAAUGGCGCAUACAAAGAGAAGCGAACUCGCGAGAGCAAGCGGACCUCAUAAAGUGCGUCGUAGUCCGGAUUGGAGUCUGCAACUCGACUCCAUGAAGUCGGAAUCGCUAGUAAUCGUAGAUCAGAAUGCUACGGUGAAUACGUUCCCGGGCCUUGUACACACCGCCCGUCACACCAUGGGAGUGGGUUGCAAAAGAAGUAGGUAGCUUAACCUUCGGGAGGGCGCUUACCACUUUGUGAUUCAUGACUGGGGUGAAGUCGUAACAAGGUAACC